rnacentral:rRNA from 1 species
CUACGGGAUGCAGCAGUGAGGAAUAUUGCACAAUGGGGGGAACCCUGAUGCAGCAACGCCGCGUGGAGGAUGACGCAUUUCGGUGUGUAAACUCCUUUUAUAUGUCAAGAAAAUGACGGUAGCAUAUGAAUAAGCACCGGCUAACUCCGUGCCAGCAGCCGCGGUAAUACGGGGGUGCAAGCGUUACUCGGAAUCACUGGGCGUAAAGGACGCGUAGGCGUGUUGGAAAGUCAGGUGUGAAAUCCUACAGCUUAACUGUAGAACUGCACUUGAAACUUCUAAUCUAGAGUAUGGGAGGGGGAGAUGGAAUUAGUGGUGUAGGGGUAAAAUCCGUAGAUAUCACUAGGAAUACCUAAAGCGAAGGCGAUCUCCUGGAACAUUACUGACGCUAAGGCGUGAAAGCGUGGGGAGCAAACAGGAUUAGAUACCCCUGUAGUC